CUCUCCCCGCCCCUUGCCCCUGGGUCCGCUCCCGAAGGCUGGAGCCAAUGAGACGGCUGCCCAGGCCGAACCCACUUUCCGAUUGGCCGCUGGGGUCUUUGGGACUCCCCUGGAGGGAGCCCCGGGGAAUCAGUGUUUGGCGCUGGGUCCUGGGGUAGCGCCACAAGCCCCGGGCAUCCUUUGUUCAGGAGCCCCGAAUUAGACCGCAGCCAGAGGGCGGAGCUCAGCUCUGGUCAAGCCUGGAGAAGAUCGGAGGCGGACCCUUCCAUCGUUCAGCUAACAGUCAUUGAGCCCUACUGUGUGCCAUGAUUGUCCUAGACACGGAGGACACAGCGUGACAGAAGACCCUCCUUUGAAGUGCUAAGAAGUGAGUCCUCGGGCUGUGGAUGUUGCUCAGUGGUACCUCGCCUGCCUCACAAGUGCAAGGUCCUGAGUUCGAUCUCCGGUACCAAAAAGAAAAAAAGAUCUUACUAUGUAUGUACUCCAGCCUGGCCUUGAACUCACUGUGUAGCCCAGGCAGUCCUUGAACUUGCCUGGAUCCUCCUGCCUCAGCCUCUCACUGGGACUACAGCCACACACCAAAAUGCCCGCCCCCUGGCUGAGGACUCCUACUUCCUCCAGGCCUCACCCCAAGGUAACCACGUGGGGCACGUGCAUGUUCGCAGCAUUACUGACCAAGUGAACCUCACACAGUGCCUAAACCUGGAGGCCGCUGGCUGUGCCGAGAACUAGAUUCAUCUUCCAUCGCCCCCUCCACUAGCACCAUUCUUAGUUCCCGUCUGCCUGGAAAGAAACUGAGGCUUGGCAACCUCAGGAGAACCCUAGAGCCACACAGGGGCAGGCCGGGCCCUAGCUCGGCCUCGCUGCAGAAGUAGCCUCCGCCCCGGGAGUCCCAGAAGAGCCUGUCCUGCGUGUCCUGCA